rnacentral:rRNA from 1 species
AUGCUCGUACUUUCUGUAUGGAGCUGGGAACGAUUGCCGGUUGGACGACCGAAGAACGUGAAGUACGAGCCAUGGGAAGACAAAAACGACCCACUAUGGUUCCUCACUUGGGCUUACAAGUGAGAUGUGUUAAAUGAGACGAUGGAUGACCCCUUGGUCAUGUACAAGCUGUACAUGAGCGAGUUGGACAUGAUUAUGGUUGAGUAG